UCAAGUGAACAAGAGCCAACGGCGGAUGCCUUGGCGCCAGAUGCCGAUGAAGGACGUGGGUGGCUGCGAAAAGCCACGGGGAGCUGUCUACCAAGCUUUGAUCCGUGGAUAUCCGAAUGGGGAAACCCGACUGGGGUUAUGCCCAGUCACCCUUGCCUGAAUAUAUAGGGCAGUGGGAGGGCACCGGGGGAACUGAAACAUCUCAGUACCCUGAGGAAUGGAAAGCAAUUGCGACUCUCUUAGUAGCGGCGAGCGAAAAGGGAAGAGCCUAAACCGCAACAGUGGUAUAGCCUGCCGGCGAUGCUGUUGCGGGGUUGUGGGACCUAUCAGACAAGACGGCAGUUUUGUCAGAGAGUUAAAAAAUCAUCAGAUAGUGGAAGCGCUCUGGAAAGGCGUGCCACAGAGGGUAACGGCCCCGUACACGAAAUCUGAAUGAUCUCUCGAUGGUGUUCCCGAGUAACACGGGAUCCGGGAAAGCCCGUGUGAAUCCGCGAGGACCACCUCGUAAGGCUAAGUACAUUCUGGCGACCGAUAGCGUACGAGUACCGUGAGGGAAGGGUGAAAAGUACCCCGGGAGGGGAGUGAAAUAGAACCUGAAACCGUUGGCUUACAAGCAGUCAGAGCGGACUAGUUCCGUGAUGGCGUGCCUUUUGAAGAAUGAGCCUGCGAGUUACCGUUUGUGGCGAGGUUAACCCGAGAGGGGAAGCCGGAGCGAAAGCGAGUCUGAAUAGGGCGUCCAGUCGCAAGCGGUAGACCCGAAGCCGAGUGAUCUAUCCAUGGGCAGGCUGAAGCGAGGGUAAGACCUCGUGGAGGGCCGAACCCACCAAGGUUGAAAACUUGGGGGAUGACCUGUGGUUAGGGGUGAAAGGCCAAUCAAACUCGGUGAUAGCUGGUUCUCCCCGAAAUGCAUUUAGGUGCAGCGUCGUGUGUUUAGUGCCGGAGGUAGAGCACUGGAUGGUCUAGGGGGCCUACAAGCUUACCGAAAUCAGCCAAACUCCGAAUACCGGUACUCCAAAGCACGGCAGUGAGACCAUGGGGGAUAAGCUUCAUGGUCGAAAGGGAAACAGCCCAGAACGCCAGCUAAGGCCCCAAAUUCUGUGCUCAGUGGCAAAGGAUGUGGGCUUGCCCAGACAGCCAGUAGGUUGGCUUAGAAGCAGCCACCCUUUAAAGAGUGCGUAACAGCUCACUGGUCGAGUGGUCCUGCGCCGAUAAUGUAACGGGGCUCAAGCACAGAGCCGAAGCUGCGUCAUACAUCAUUCCUUCGGGAAUGGUGGAUGGGUAGGGGAGCGUCGAUCUCAGCAGAGAAGCAGUCGGGGAACCGUCUGUGGAGCGUGGUCGAGUGCGAAUGCAGGUAUGAGUAGCGAACGAGGGGGGAGGAACCCCUCCGCCGAAUGCCCAAGGGUUCCUGGGGAAGGCUCAUCCGCCCAGGGUUAGUCGGGUGCUAAGGCGAGGCCGACAGGCGUAGUCGAUGCACAACAGGUUGAUAUUCCUGUACCACCAUGUACGCGCCAAAUCCACCGAGAUAGCGAUUCGGGGCUGCUCUUCGGAGCGAACUGGACACGUGGCUCGAACGGAUAGCGAUGGGGUGACGCAGAAGGGUAGGUCUACCGGGCGAUGGUUGUCCCGGAGCAAACAUGUAGGGGGACUGGUAGGUAAAUCCGCCGGUCAUAUACCCCGAGAUGUGACGCCGAACCGCUUUAGGUGAAGUGACUGAUCCCAUACUGUCGAGAAAAACCUCUAGUGAGCUGACAUGGUGCCCGUACCCCAAACCGACUCAGGUGGGCACGUAGAGAAUACGAAGGCGAUCGAGAGAACUCUGGUUAAGGAACUCGGCAAAUUGCCCCCGUAACUUCGGAAGAAGGGGGGCCUCCGUAGGGUGACGGACCUCGCGUCCCGAGCUCGAAGAGGCCGCAGAAACCAGGGCCAAGCGACUGUUUACUAAAAACACAGGAGCGUGCUAAGUCGCAAGACGACGUAUACGCUCUGACGCCUGCCCGGUGCCGGAAGGUUACGUGGAGGGGUUAGCCGCAAGGCAAAGCUCCGAAACUAAGCCCCGGUAAACGGCGGCCGUAACUAUAACGGUCCUAAGGUAGCGAAAUUCCUUGUCGGGUAAGUUCCGACCUGCACGAAUGGCGUAACGACUUGGCUACUGUCUCAACCAGAGACUCGGCGAAAUUGCACGACGAGUAAAGAUGCUCGUUUCCCGCAGAAGGACGGAAAGACCCCGUGGACCUUUACUACAAUUUGUUGUUGGACUUCGGUACGUGCUGUGUAGGAUAGGUGGGAGUCGUGGAAGCUGGGGCGUCAGCCUCGGUGGAGACAACCUUGAAAUACCACCCUUUACGUAGUGGAGUUCUAACCCAGGCCCGUGAAUCCGGGUCGGGGACAGCGCCAGGUGGGUAGUUUGACUGGGGCGGUCGCCUCCUAAAGAGUAACGGAGGCGCCCAAAGGUUCCCUCAGCCUGGUUGGUCAUCAGGCGGCGAGUGCAAAGGCACAAGGGAGCUUAACUGCGAGACCAACAAGUCGAGCAGAUGCGAAAGCAGGGCUUAGUGACCCGGCUGUGGCAUGUGGAAGCGCAGUCGAUUAACGGAUAAAAGGUACCCCGGGGAUAACAGGCUUAUCUUGCCCAAGAGUUCACAUCGACGGCAAGGUUUGGCACCUCGAUGUCGGCUCGUCGCAUCCUGGGGGGGAAGCAUCUCCCAAGGGUUGGGCUGUUCGCCCAUUAAAGCGGUACGCGAGCUGGGUUUAGAACGUCGCGAGACAGUUCGGUCCCUAUCCUCUGUGGGCGUUGGAGAUUUGUGAGGUGCUGUCCCUAGUACGAGAGGACCGGGACGGACGCAGCUCUCGUGUGCCAGUUGUCCUGCCAAGGGCACGGCUGGUUGGCGACCUGCGGAGAGGAUAAGCGCUGAAAGCAUCUAAGCGCGAAGCCUUCCUCGAGAUGAGAUCUCCCACCGGUAUAACCGGGUAAGGCCCCUGGUAGACGACCAGGUUGAUAGGCCGGAAGUGUAAGCACGGUGACGUGUUCAGCUGACCGGUACUAAUCGGCCGAGGGCUUGAA
rnacentral:rRNA from 2 species